GAAAGGACAGCUAAUACCGGAUGAAGUUGAUUGACAUAAGUCGAUUAAUGAAAGAUUGCCUAUCCUUGGAAGCAAUUGUUUGGAGAUGAGUUUGCGGACCAUUAGUUUGUUGGUGGGGUAAAGGCCUACCAAGACUGCGAUGGUUAGCUGGUCUGAGAGGAUGAUCAGUCACACUGGAACUGGAACACGGUCCAGACUCCUACGGGAGGCAGCAGUGAGGAAUUUUGCGCAAUGGGGGAAACCCUGACGCAGCAACGCCGCGUGAGUGAAGAAGGCCUUUGGGUCGUAAAGCUCUGUCAACUGGGAAGAAAUUACAAUUAUCCAAUAGGUAAUUGUAUUGACGGUACCAGUGGAGGAAGCGCCGGCUAACUCCGUGCCAGCAGCCGCGGUAACACGGGGGGCGCAAGCGUUAUUCGGAAUUAUUGGGCGUAAAGGGCGCGUAGGCGGUCUUGUCGGUCAGAUGUGAAAGCCCGGGGCUCAACCCCGGACGUGCAUUUGAAACAGCAAGACUUGAGUACGGGAGAGGAAAGCG
rnacentral:rRNA from 1 species